UACGUAGGGCGCGAGCGUUGUCCGGAAUCAUUGGGCGUAAAGAGCUCGUAGGCGGCCUGUCGCGUCUGCUGUGAAAUCCCGGGGCUUAACCCCGGGCGUGCAGUGGAUACGGGCUGGCUGGAGGCAGGCAGGGGAGAACGGAAUUCCCGGUGUAGCGGUGAAAUGCGCAGAUAUCGGGAGGAACACCGGUGGCGAAGGCGGUUCUCUGGGCAGUAACUGACGCUGAGGAGCGAAAGCGUGGGGAGCGAACAGG
rnacentral:rRNA from 1 species